ACGAGACGAGCUGCCGAGGUCAGUUUUCACCCACGCCCCGAAACGACGCUCGACUACGCUUACCGAUCCAACCGCCAAACACCCGACGAACCGGACGUCGUCAUCCUCGAGGCACUUCGGGAGAAGGAGCGAGGCGACUGGCGGAGAUUGUCCAUGGAAGAGAAGAAGAUUCUUUACAGAGCGAGCUUCUGUUCGACCUUCGCCGAAAUGGAUGCACCUACCGGCCAAUGGAAAAGCAUUUUGGCCAAUUGUAUAUUUCUCGUGUGCGCGGCCCUCUGGCUGUGGAUUUACGUUCGGAUUUUUGGUACUUUAUAUACCCCCUUUUUUCCUUCUGUUCCGUUCUUCGUGAAAUUCCAAUACGAUUCUCCCGGGGAAUGAUCAAUUUCGAGUCGCCGAGACGAAUUUUUGAUAAAAUAAAAAUUGGCGAAAAAUUCGGAGGAUAAAAAUGGGUUUUUGGGGAAUUUUGGUACGAAUGAAAAGAAAAUGUUGAUCGGGAGAAUCGCGAGGAACGAAUGAUGCUCGGGACAAACGAUUCGCGCAUUUGAGCUCGCCGAUAGGAUCGGCUGUGAUUCGUAAGCGACUCAUGAUUUACCCGCUUCAUUGACCGAUUUGCCGUUAGCAGUGACCUGGAUUUCGUGGACGCGAGUCGCGUGUCACGACUCGUCGUGCCCCGGUGUGCGACCAACGUUUCUCUCUCCUCUCAGGGGGCUCUUCGUUAUUUCUCCCAACGACGAGCCUCGCUAACUCGCACGUUAUAUGUUUUGUCAAAAUGUGAAUUUUAAAGGAGAACAAAAAUUUUAUUUCCCGCAGUCAAUACAGAGGCCCCGAAAAGUUUUUCAGAGGAGAGUCGAGCGGCGCAGUACUGGCGUCAAGAGGCGAUUAACAAUGAGCCGUUCAGCGGAAAUUACAAGCCAAAGAAUGCAGACAAAUACAAGCCGUUUGCAGAAGAGAACGAACCUGGGGAAAGGGCGAAAAAAAAUGACGAAAAUGACUGAAAAAACGACGCUGAAAGGAAUGAAAAAUUGUGCAAUUAGAGAAAUGUACGAUGAAAUAAAAAUA
rnacentral:misc_RNA from 1 species